AGGGUGGAGAUUGUCGCCCUUAACUUCCUCCUUUCAGGUCUUUGGGAACAUGUAUACUGCAGUAACAGAAGACUGACAGAAGGACUGGAUAGGAAAGCCAAGUUAUCCAAACCAUCAUGAAGGAAAGAAAAUAAACUCUGAGAUUAACAGUCACUUUACAAAAGUCUCAACAGCCAGUGUCGGAGACUUUGGACAGAAAUUCAUGAAGAAAAGUUACAAACUGAUUUCAAACACGUGACGAGGAGAUCGCAUGACUGCAGAUGCCUGAGUGAUCGCCGAGAUUCUUCCACUCAUCGUUCAAGACCCGGAUGAUGCAGCUAAAACCUCGUUGAAAGAAUGCAAUCCUGCAGUAUUGCAUCAGACGGACAAUGGAUCUAUUCUUGAAUAA
rnacentral:lncRNA from 1 species